ensembl:lncRNA
GUCCACACAGGAUGCCGCUGAGCUUUUUUUUUGUGAUUGUUGCAGCCAAAAAAUGCUCGAUUUUGCUGCAGCUUUUUCCAAAAUGUGCGAUGCAACUUGCAAAGUUUUUUGUGGAAAACUACUUGAAUUGCGUGAGAUUGUCUUUCACAGUGACUGUUGUUGGUAAAUGAGACCUUUUAGCUGUAUUAAUGAAUUGAAGAGGGUCUUUGGCUGAAGGCGUGCUGUGAUGACAUCACACGACACGUCUAGGCCCAAAUCUGCGGAAAAUCCGCAGUAAGUUUUUUUUUUUUUAAUUGCAAGCUCCUCUGAAUACCGCAGAGUUUCCUUGAUUUUGCUUUCAUGUCUGUGAUCGCAUAAUCCUGGAGGGACCGGUAAGUAGUCUGUGACCUGGUCAUUCACAACAGAAGUAAGCUGUAAGCAAAUACUCAUACACACUUCAUCAGCUUAUACUGGCUCUUCAAUAAAUACAAGAAGUGCUUCAACUGAUAAUGCAAAGCAAUGAAAAUGUGUACCAUUCGUCAGCGUCUUUACGCCACGCCGGUCGUUCGUCGGCGUCUUUACAGUAAAGGUUGUCGUUCGUCGGCGUCUUUACAGUAAAGGUUGUCGUUCGUCGGCGUCUUUACAGUAAGGCUGUCGUUCGUCGGCGUCUUUACAGUAAAGGUUGUCGUUCGUCGGCGUCUUUACAGUAAAGGUUGUCGUUCGUCGGCGUCUUUACAGUAAGGCUGUCGUUCGUCGGCGUCUUUACAGUAAGGCUGUCGUUCAUCGCGUCUUUACAGUAAGGCUGUCGUUCGUCGGCGUCUUUACAGUAAGGCUGUCGUUCGUCGGCGUCUUUACAGUAAGGCUGUCGUUCGUCGGCGUCUUUACAGUAAGGCUGUCGUUCGUCGGCGUCUUUACAGUAAGGCUGUCGUUCGUCGGCGUCUUUACAGUAAGGCUGUCGUUCGUCGGCGUCUUUACAGUAAAGGUUGUCGUUCGUCGGCGUCUUUACAGUAAGGCUGUCGUUCGUCGGCGUCUUUACAGUAAAGGUUGUCGUUCGUCGGCGUCUUUACAGUAAGGCUGCCGUUCGUCGGCGUCUUUACAGUAAGGCUGUCGUUCGUCGGCGUCUUUACAGUAAAGGUUGUCGUUCGUCGGCGUCUUUACAGUAAAGGUUGUCGUUCGUCGGCGUCUUUACAGCAAGGCUGUCGUUCGUCGGCGUCUUUACAGUAAAGGUUGUCGUUCGUCGGCGUCUUUACAGUAAAGGUUGUCGUUCGUCGGCGUCUUUACAGUAAGGCUGUCGUUCGUCGGCGUCUUUACAGUAAAGGUUGUCGUUCGUCGGCGUCUUUACAGUAAAGGUUGUCGUUCGUCGGCGUCUUUACAGUAAAGGCUGUCGUUCGUCGGCGUCUUUACAGUAAAGGUUGUCGUUCGUCGGCGUCUUUACAGUAAGGUUGUCGUUCGUCGGCGUCUUUACAGUAAGGCUGUCGUUCGUCGGCGUCUUUACAGUAAAGGCUGUCGUUCGUCGGCGUCUUUACAGUAAAGGUUGUCGUUCGUCGGCGUCUUUACAGUAAAGGUUGUCGUUCGUCGGCGUCUUUACAGUAAAGGUUGUCGUUCGUCGGCGUCUUUACAGUAAGGCUGUCGUUCGUCGGCGUCUUUACAGUAAAGGUUGUCGUUCGUCGGCGUCUUUACAGUAAAGGUUGUCGUUCGUCGGCGUCUUUACAGUAAAGGUUGUCGUUCAUCGGCGUCUUUACAGUAAAGGUUGUCGUUCGUCAGUGUCUUUACAGGAAGCUGGACAUUUGUCAGCGUUUUUAACAUUGCGCUAAUCAUUUGUUAGUGUUUUUUUCAGAACAGUUAAUGUGCUACUUCAGAAUGUGUGAAAUCAUUCACUUUCUGUAGAAAUCUCUGGUGAAAUGCUAGAACAUACAAAAUGAACAGUGGUAGUCCAUAUCUGGCUUCAUAUGUAUGCAAAUUACACUGGAACUAUCUUGGAGCUAACAUAACACUGGUUAGCUGUUAGCACAAAACAGGUUUGCUUGUGCAAACAGACGUAGGCUGCCUUCAAAUCCUAUCGGAAAUCUCUUCCUGAGUGUGCAGAGAGCUCUGUGUCUCCGAACGCCGUGCAUGCACGAUACUGCUCAUCCUAAGCACACAGUAGCCCAAGAGCUCAACUAUACUGAAUAAAACAUUGAACACAAUAUAUUUUGUCACCAUGUUACACAUUUAAUACAUCUGUUACUAACAGACUCGUAGUAUACUUUUCCAGAUUAACAAAGUAAUAAUGGAACAAUUUAUCAAUUAUACAAAUAGUAGUUAGUUGCGGCACUGAUGAAAAUAAAUAAUUUGCAGGAAUGAUCGUGAUCGGAAGCUUUUUUUGGUCCGACUACACAACCGUUCGUUCUGGUCUACUAAUCUGACUGGACUAGAGGUGUUCCAAGAGUGCUGAUGUUUAGAACAACAGUCCUGCUACAGUACGUUUCACUGUUUGUCUGUGUUCACUACAUAAAAUUCCAGCUCUAGCAAUAGUUCACUGCAUUGAAACCGUUACUACACUUUCUAUGCGCUGUCAAUCAGUCUGUGUGGUGGCAUGGCAACGCCCAACACACUACCCCAGCUUUGGCUUCUUUGGGAAUUAUUUUGACGGAGCACAGAAAAACUAAAUAUUUGGCCAUAUUGUUAAUAUUAAUUUGAAUUACUUGAUAUUAAUUUCUUGUUUAUAGAACUGUUGUAUAAAAGCAAUAUCACAAGACUCCAUUACUAAAGAAAAGGCAUGUUGAAGCUCGUUUAAAGUUUGCGACAACUCAUUUGGACAAGCCUAUGAAAUACUGGGAGAGUGUAGUCUGGCCAGACGAGGGCGAGAUUUACUUUUUGGCUGUUAUACUACACACCAUGUUUGGGGAAGAAAUGGCACUGCACAUCACUCUAAUCGAUCCAAAACAUACAGCAAAGGAAACUCAGUUGGUUUUGGAGAAAAAAAAUCAAGGCGUUAGAAUGUCCCAGUCAAUCACCUGACUCGAAUCCAGCUGAACAAGAUUUAAAGACGAUAUGUUUAGAAGAACGGGCCAAAAUCACACCUGAAUACUGCGGCACAUUAAUUUCUUCAUACAGGAAGCGUCUUGAAGCCGUCAAUACAAACAAAGGCUUCUCCACUACGUAUUAAAUACAUUUCAGUUAGUGUGUUCAGUACUUUGUUCCCUGUGUCAUUCCUCUUUAUUACACACUAAACUUCAUUUAUGGAUUUUAAUGUUUGGAUUUCUUUAUAUGUGUGGAUUUCUUGAGUUAAUACCAAAGUCUGGUGUAAAUUUCAUGUGAAUGGCCUCAUUGGAAAUAUAUUUACUGAACAAAAGUUGACGCGUUCAAUACUUAUUUCCCCUACGGUGUGUGUCCUGUCGCACAAUGUGGUGAAAACUCUACACGAUGUUAACAGUGUGAUUAAG